GUGUCAGCCGCCGCGGUAAUACGGAGGGUGCAAGCGUUGUUCGGAAUCACUGGGCGUAAAGGGCGCGUAGGCGGCCCAGCAAGUCGGAUGUGAAAGCCCUGGGCUCAACCCAGGAAGUGCAUCCGAUACUACUGGGCUUGAGUACGGGAGAGGGAAGUGGAAUUCCCGGUGUAGGGGUGAAAUCCGUAGAUAUCGGGAGGAACACCGGUGGCGAAGGCGACUUCCUGGACCGCUACUGACGCUGAGGCGCGAAAGCGUGGGGAGCAAACAGGAUUAGAUACCCUGGUAGUCCACGCCGUAAACGGUGGGCACUAGGUGUGGCGGGUAUAAACUCCCGCCGUGCCGCAGCUAACGCAUUAAGUGCCCCGCCUGGGGAGUACGGCCGCAAGGUUAAAACUUAAAGGAAUUGACGGGG
rnacentral:rRNA from 1 species